rnacentral:lncRNA from 1 species
AUAAUUAACAAUUUAGAGAUCGAUAUAUUAUAUGAAAUUAGAACACACUUACUUGAUAAUCAUAAUCACAAACCAUUGUUAUCGGAAGCGCACCAAUAUCGAAAAACAUCGAUAUACUAGCCAAGGUCUUCCUCUGCCUAUCACAUACUCCAUUCUUUGAGGUCUUUGAUGGGGAAGACAACAAAUGAGCGUUCACUUGACAACGUGACGGCAAAGGGGACCUAGCCUAUCUAUUUAUAAGAUAACAACCCUAGUACCACC